AACGAACGCUGGCGGCAUGCCUAACACAUGCAAGUCGAACGAGACCUUCGGGUCUAGUGGCGCACGGGUGCGUAACGCGUGGGAACCUGCCCUUAGGUUCGGAAUAACUCCCCGAAAGGGGUGCUAAUACCGGAUAAUGUCUUCGGACCAAAGAUUUAUCGCCAUUGGAUGGGCCCGCGUUGGAUUAGCUAGUUAGUAGGGUAAAAGCCUACCAAGGCGACGAUCCAUAGCUGGUCUGAGAGGAUGAUCAGCCACACUGGGACUGAGACACGGCCCAGACUCCUACGGGAGGCAGCAGUGGGGAAUAUUGGACAAUGGGCGAAAGCCUGAUCCAGCAAUGCCGCGUGAGUGAUGAAGGCCUUAGGGUUGUAAAGCUCUUUUACCCGGGAUGAUAAUGACAGUACCGGGAGAAUAAGCUCCGGCUAACUCCGUG
rnacentral:rRNA from 1 species